ACAUCCUAAGGAAAAGUGGGACAAAUCAGAGACCGGGGAGCUUCUGUAAAUGUGGGACUGUCCUUGGAAAAUAGGGACACUUGGAGAGUCUGUUGCUGUUGGGACCUGAAAAUUGUUCCUCCCCACAAGGAAAGAAUGGGUGAAGAAAGUUUGACUUUGGGAACAAGGCAGGAAGAAAUAUCAACAUCGGGAUCUGCUGCCCUACUGAAUUGGCAUCCUAAGGCAGUCGUUGCACCUUGCCUCAUGGGUGGGCUGGCCCUGGCUCACUAGGAGAAGAGGAUGCUGGAGCUGUGGGGGCCUUUGUAGUCUGUUCCAGCAGGGUGCUUUUCCUCUCCUCCAGCAGUGUUAGAAAGUCAGAUAUAUAGGCUAGGCCCCAACUGGCUCUUUAAACCAAGGUUGCAGCUGCCAAAACAGAAUGUCUAGUUACCAUUUGGGGGCAAGAUGGAUCUAAAGUCUUAUUUUUCAUA